rnacentral:rRNA from 1 species
UUUUUUAAAUUGCUGUGGUAUUUUGACUAUACAAAGGUAUUGAAAUAAGAUUUUAAUUGAAUGCUAAGAGAAUGGAAGUUCAGAAAAAAACUUUUUUUAAAUUAAAAAUUGAAGUUUUUUUAAUUUGUGCAGAAACAAUUAUUUAUAUUAAAGACAAGAAGACCCUAUGAAUUUAUUAAAUUUUUACUUAAUAUGUAAUUACUAUUAAAAAAAUUUUGGCUGGGGCGGCUAGAAAAUAUUAUAAACUUUUUAAAAAUAAAAUGAUCCAUUAUUAAUGAUUUUAUGUUAAAUACUCUAG